CAGAGGGGAACGCGGAGAAAGGCGAGCCGCGUCAGAGCUAGGCCCGUCCCACACGGCGGUGCUGCUCCACUGGCGGCCUGGAGUUUCCGGAAGUGACGUGGCUCCGUCCUGACGCACGGCUGCGCGAGAGUGACGCUGUCCUUCCAAAAUCAUCAAGCGUUGGCGGAAGAGAUGACGCCGUCAUUCGACAGUCAUCAAGGAGCCUGGACCAUGAUUUUCUACGCACGGUCACUCGGAGGAUUGCGACGGCCUGUUGCCUUCCCUGUGCAUCGCUUUUUUGGGGAGAACGAAUGAGCGUUUGGAGUGUUUCAUCUGCCCCCACGACCUCCCAGCCUCCCAUGGAUCAGCGCUGACAGGAAACCCCAGAUUUCCCUAUUCUGGGCAUUCACGUGAGUGGAGCCUUAUAACCUGUGGUCUUUGCAACUGACCUCUUUCAGUUCGCACGAUAUUUUCAAGAGUUACCCAUGU